AAAAGCUCGUAGUUGGAUUUCUGAUAUGGUCAGUCGGCCGGCUCUUCGGAGUUGUAGCUAGAUUUGAUUGUGUCAUCUUGUCGUAAUUCUUACUGGCAUUCAUUUGUUGGUGUAGAGGACCGACUCGUUUACUUUGAGAAAAUUAGAGUGUUCAAAGCAGGCUAUCGCCUUGAAUAUGUUAGCAUGGAAUAAUGAUAUAGGACUUUUGGUUCUAUUUUGUUGGUUGUUCGAGAACCAAAGUAAUGAUUGAUAGGGACAGUUGGGGGCAUCAGUAUUCUGAAGCGAGAGGUGAAAUUCUUGGACCUUCGGAAGACUAACAACUGCGAAAGCAUUUGCCUAGGAUGUUCUCUUUAAUCAAGAACGAAGGUUGGGGGAUCGAAGACGAUCAGAUACCGUCGUAGUCUCAACUAUAAACUAUGCCAGCUAGGGAUGAGUGGAUGUUUAAUUACGACUCCAUUCGCACCUUAUGAGAAAUCAAAGCAUUUGGGUUCCGGGGGGAGUAUGGUCGCAAGGCUGAAACUUAAAGGAAUUGACGGGAGGGCACCACCAGGAGUGGAGCCUGUGGCUUAAUUUGACUCAACACGGGAAAACUUACCAGGUCCGGACAUAGCUAGGAUUGACAGAUUGAUAGCUCUU
rnacentral:rRNA from 1 species